rnacentral:rRNA from 1 species
GACGAACGCUGGCGGCGUGCUUAACACAUGCAAGUCGAACGGAAAGGCCCUGCUUUUGUGGGGUGCUCGAGUGGCGAACGGGUGAGUAACACGUGAGUAACCUGCCCUUGACUUUGGGAUAACUUCAGGAAACUGGGGCUAAUACCGGAUAGGAGCUCCUGCUGCAUGGUGGGGGUUGGAAAGUUUCGGCGGUUGGGGAUGGACUCGCGGCUUAUCAGCUUGUUGGUGGGGUAGUGGCUUACCAAGGCUUUGACGGGUAGCCGGCCUGAGAGGGUGACCGGCGACAUUGGGACUGAGAUACGGCCCAGACUGCUACGGGAGGCAGCAGUGGGGAGUAUUGCACAAUGGGCGGAAGCCUGAUGCAGCAACGCCGCGUGCGGGAUGACGGCCUUCGGGUUGUAAACCGCUUUCGCCUGUGACGAAGCGUGAGUGACGGUAAUGGGUAAAGAAGCACCGGCUAACUACGUG